rnacentral:rRNA from 1 species
UACGUCGGUGGCAAGCGUUGUCCGGAAUUAUUGGGCGUAAAGCGCGCGCAGGCGGUCUCUUAAGUCUGAUGUGAAAUCUCGCGGCUCAACCGUGAGCGGUCAUUGGAAACUGGGAGACUUGAGUGCAGAAGAGAAGAGCGGAAUUCCACGUGUAGCGGUGAAAUGCGUAGAGAUGUGGAGGAACACCAGUGGCGAAGGCGGCUCUUUGGUCUGUAACUGACGCUGAGGCGCGAAAGCGUGGGGAGCGAACAGG